GAUGAAGAACGUAGCGAAAUGCGAUACUUGGUGUGAAUUGCAGAAUCCCGUGAACCAUCGAGUCUUUGAACGCAAGUUGCGCCCGAAGCCAUUAGGCCGAGGGCACGCCUGCCUGGGCGUCACACGUCGUUGCCCCCCCAUCUACUCCUUCGGGAUUGCGGGGGGCGGAUGAUGGCCUCCCGUGCGCCUCGCCGCGCGGUUGGCAUAAAUGCCAAGUCCUCGGCGACGCACGCCACGACAAUCGGUGGUUGCGAAACCUCGGUUGCCCGUCGUGUGCGGUCGUCGCGCAUCGAGGGCUCGAAAAAAUUGCCGGGUUCCGGCUCGGCUUUCAACGCGACCCCAGGUCAGGCGGGGUUACCCGCUGAAUUUAAGCAUAUCAAUUAGCGGAGGA
rnacentral:misc_RNA from 1 species